GGCCUCCNUGUGUGCGCCGGCCUGAUGAAAANCNUGUACNNNNGNNCAUCAACGGGAGCNNGCUGNNGUACGCGUANUAAACAGCCCCCUAAUUAGGGGCCAGUGAAAGGCAACACGAAAGCUUCCUCUAUCCUUUGUAUAAAAAAAAUUUUUCAUUUAUGUUAAAAGACAUAAAUAAUAUAGAAAGACGAAAAGACCCCGCGGAGCUUUACUAAAAAUUCUUUUCUUCACAAAGAAAUACACUAUUAGUUUGGUUGGGGCAACCUUGGAGUAAAUAAAACCUCCAAUAUUUCAUCCUUCAAUAUACAAAAUUUUUAAGGAAAAAAAAGAAGUUACCCCGGGGAUAACAGCGUUAUCUAACUAGAGAGUACACAUCGAAAGUUAGGUUUGCGACCUCGAUGUUGGCUUAGGGUAAUCCAUAUAGGCGCAGCAGCCAUAAAAGGACAGUCUGUUCGACUGCCAACCCCCU
rnacentral:rRNA from 1 species